rnacentral:lncRNA from 1 species
AUUAUAUGGAAGAAUGGUUUCACUUUGUUUGAACCUGGAAGCCUCUUCCCGUGAUGGUUUAAUUAUGUUCACAUUUAUAUUUAUAAUAUGUAAUAUAUACUUAUAAAUGGAAUAUAUUACAUUUAAAAUGCCCCUUUUGUAUUAUGGGACGCUGUGAUUCUGUUUAUUACUAGGAAGUCCUGGUCCUAAUAAAUACAAUAUUUGAACAGCACAAAGAUAGAGUGGUGGCAAGAUGCGCCUCCGUAUGGAUGCCCCUUGAUCUUUACCAAACAAUUAAUUUCUUCCUCUGAUUUCCUGAGACAUAUAUUCAACGUUUGAUUAGUACCUUUUAUGUGUCAGGAACAUAAGUGAAUCUGGAAUGAAUUUCUCAAACACUGACAAAGGAGACAGGCAUAUAAACAAUAGAUUACAAAAUGACAGGGUUAGUGCUACAAUAGCAGUGUUAUGUUUGUGCUGCAUUGUAAAGACAAUGAAUAGAACACCUAACCCUGCGAGAGCUGAAGAAUAGGACUGAAAUAGAAAGGGAAGAGAAUCACUGAAAGAAAGGACCAGUCCAUACAAAGAAGAAUGGAAAAGGACAGAGAUUGGGUCAGAUUGUAGCAGACAGUGUAUUCCACACCACAUCAGUUGGGUUUAUACAUGAUAAUAAUACAUUGUGCUUAAUGUAGGGCUGCAUAGAAGGCAAGAAAAAAAUAUUAGCUAUGAUUGCUAAAAAUAUUAUUGCUUAUUUUUAAUUGUAAUAGCCCAAUAAGAAAUCAGGAGCCACUGGAGUUUUUUAAGGAGAAAAAUUAUGAGUAGGUUUGUACACACAAAAAAUUUCUGGUGUUAGUGUACAAUAUGGAUUGGAGGGAGAAAAAUGGGGAUGCAAGAUCAGAUGGCAAUUGUAACAACAAUAUGGGCAAGAUGUAAUUCGGUUUUGAUGGCAGUUGCGAGAAUUAACCUUUCUGUAUCUCAGUUUCCUCAUCUGUAAAAUAUGGGGAUUAGAAUUGCAUCUAAUUUAUUGGAUUGACAUGAGGAUUAAGUGAGUUAAUAUUUUUCAAAGCUCUUAACAAACUAUGUGUUUGUUAAGUAAAGUUCAAACAGAUUAAUAUUGCGUGUCUGUCUUUUGCAUAUACAUGAAUCCUAGAUUAUUAUAAUUGGAUAUGUACUAUCUCCACGUCAUGUCCUCUGCAUAGGCAGUAACAAAGAGCUACUUGUUUCUGUUGAUUAUAAUUAUGAUAAUAUUUCAUUGAUGCUUGUCUAUUCAAUACUACCAAAGAUAGAGCUCAGUGUUGGUGUCUGAGACAAAUACAUAAUAUCAUCUUGACUACUCUUGAACUGAU